CAGAAUAGGUAGAAUAUGUCUAUAAAGCAUAGGUAACAGAGAAAUGUUUAAAGGAUUGAUUGAAUAUUUCACUCAUAAGGAGACGUCACCAAUGUCGGUGAAGGGCUGCAAAAUUUAGGUGAAGGAGAUUACAGACUCUUCAUUCAUUCGGCUAAAUCAAUAUCGUACUUUGUUGCCAGAAAAGGAGUAAUACAAGUAACCAGCGUAAUAUACCGGGAUCAUCAUCAAUAGAAUAAAACAAUCAAGGUGAUUAAGAUAAAACCUGACUGGGGCACAGAACGUGUCUCUCCUUCGCUGUAGGGCAGGUUGUGACCUUCACGACGUUAUUAAGCAUAACCAUUUACCGGCAAAUAUAUAUACAUGUAUUUCUAGGUAUCUUUGAAAUAGGGAAAUCCUUAAAGUAUUGUUUUAUCAUCAAUCUAUUUACAUUCUAUGACAGAGUUAGUGUGAUUUAGAAGAGAUCAAGCAUUUCAUAAUUCUUAAAACGGGACGCAAUGUUAAUUGUCAGAUGGAUCCUAAAAUGGACAAGGAGAAUCUUUUUUUUUUUUUUUUUUUUUUUUUUUUUUUUUUAGCGUAUAUGGAAUUCCCGCAGCGUGUCUAUCAGUUCUCAUUGACUUCAAAAAUUCUAUAGAAUACAAAAUUAAGAGAAGGGCAAACACGGACCCCUGGAUGUACCAGAGGUGGGAUCAGGUGUCUAGGAGAAGUAAGUAUUCCCUGUUGACCGAUCACACCCACUGUGUUAAGUUAUUGUUGAUUCCAAAGAAAACUAGAUACUGGACAAAGACGACGCAUGUUUUUUGGGGGGUGUUUUUUAUUUUUGUUUUUUUGUUUUUGUAACUUGUAAAAUACAAAGGGACAAAGCCAGGUAUAAAUCAUAUCGGUCGCAAAAUUGUGGGAAAUAUGUAUAUAAAUUUUGAAAUGAAAAAUUAGCAUUCAAAUAAUUCGUCGGCCAUAGAUUGUAAUGGUUCGGUUAAUGCAAAUUGGGUCAUGAUCUAAUUCAUGAAGUAGUCGAUAAACAUUCCUUCAUAUCUGUCUGCUAUAAAUACCUUCUCUGAUCUUAUUUCCAUUCAAAACAUUUAAAAAGAAAAAUAUUUUCCAUUACAGAUUCUUAAUGCAUAUCUUUAUGAAUCAUCAAAGACGACCAAGUGUGCAAUAAAGCGACACAACUUCAAUGCAUACGUAAAAAUGUAAAGGUAUAUAUAAUGAACAUUUAACAGGCUUAUCGUAAAUACAAAAGCAUUUUAAAAUAUUCCUUGCAUAGAAACUAAUACAAGUGCUAAGAAUAAUCGAAAUCCUCAAAGGAGAAGGUAUAGUGGGGGCCUUAUAUGACUCCCCCACCUCUUGCGAAGAACAGCGAUGACAAAACUGUAGAACAUUAUCUACAUGUAAAUUAAAAUUUUGAAAAUAAUCAGUAUUUGUCUAUUUAAAAAAAUAGACAAAUUUUGAACUUGUAUGUUGCUUCAGAAAAUGCAUGUAUAAAGCACUCACUUGCGUAUCUCUCAAGUUUUACUCAAAAUCAUUACAACCCUGUGGCUAUACUCAUUCGUGAUCGUGAUUAGAUCUUUCUAUAGGCAUUAACUUAAAACCACUUAUUAAUAGGUUUCAUGAUUUUAAGUCUAUUUCAAAAUUUAACAGGAAUUAAGGGAAAAUGGGGGCCACAUGAAUCUCUUAUCCUACCAUGUUCUUCAGCCCUAACCCCUAAAACAACCAACCAAACAAACAAAUGCUAAAACCAAGUCCUCAACCAAACAUCAAAAUCCCAAGAAUCGUAAGCUUGGAAAUGACAUAAUUUGCAGAGAGUGAAAUGUUCUUUGUCCACAACUGCAAAACUUUGGAUUUGAGAUCCACGGAUAUCACAUCCGAUGUAAUUGCAAACUCAAUAUUUUUCAUUUACCAUUUGUAAAUACUUUAUGAAUAAAAUAAAUGUAGAACUCCCAGCCACUAAAAAGUGUUUCUAUGUCCUAGGAUGUGGGGAGAUGAUUCUGACUUAUUUCACAUGUUUAAGUCUGAAAAUUUUAUACCUUCUCAACACUGAAGAGUUCCGAUCGUCUAUUUCGUAAUAACUUGUACUAUGAUUUAGUACAGAAAACUGUCUGGAGGCACAGAACUUUCUAAAGAUACCUUCAAAUUGACUCGUCAAAAAUUUACAGUUUUCUUUUUAUUGCAUUUACUUUUCAUGCUUAAAUGCUUUGUGUAAAGUAAUUGUCAUUUAAAAAGUUAUGCACCUCGGGACAGUUAAUGGUUCAAACUACAUUGUAUUAUGAAAUAGACUAUGGGAACUCUUUAGUGUUGAGAAGGUAUAAAAUUAAAUGGUGGCCAUUUGCAACAGCUUCGAAAAUAUCCAACUUGAUUUACCAUGGGAUUUACACCAUGUAAAGUACACCCACACUGUAUGUACCGAAACAAGAGCCAAGGCAACACAUGACAACGGUCCUGUCUUCAACAACCACAAGCUGCGUCACAAAGGGUCAAAGAAAGUUCUUGCACUAUGGACACAGAGGAACAAUGUUACGGUUUCCUAAGUUUAGAAAGGGAACCUUGUCAAGUAUCAUUGUUUGGGAAACCCUGGAAUCCGGUGACAGCUAAUUUCUCAUCGCAGGAAACUAGGAACUUGUAGAAGAACAUGUAAUCCAAACCAGGGGAAAAUGGAGGAGGGGGGGGGGGGUUACAAGAAACAUUUUACCGAGCUGUAUAUUUACUAGUAUAUACAUGCAUAUUGACUUUAAAUAAAUUAUUUUGAAAUUAUUUUAGAUUAUAUAGGUCAGAUCGUUGCACUUUUCAAAGCGUUCACUAGUUGGAAUCUCAAAAUGGUCCAUUUUGUCUUGAUUUCAUAGAGAAAUUUCAAUCGGGUGUAUAAUUAAGUAGGCAUCAUCCCUUCUUGGAGAUCGUUGGUUUCAAGCAGUUUUCUAGUAGUUUCAAUGUUAUUUAGGAUCUAUAAGGGACUCUUUAGUAUCUUAAGAUACCCCCUCCCCAUUUAAUAUUCAUAUCUUGUAUCACAUCCAAUAAAACGUAAAAGUUAUUUUCCACGAUUACACACAAGUAAUUUCCCUAUAUUUCAAUAUACAAAAACUCUUUAGAAUUAAUCCUAGUGAAUAUGAUGCUAGAGCACAGAAGGGUGGAUAGUGAUCAUAAUGUGUAAUAUAUUGUUUAAUUACGUAUAAAUAUAACAGGUCAUAACUUCACUCUUUUCUAUGGGAUGCUGACCGACUCCAAUAGAUCGUGCAGAUUUUAGCACCUUCAUCGACUUGCAAAAUCAAGUAAAUGUAAUUAUGCUUAUUGCAACUGAACUUUUCACAUAUGACAAGAUGGUAAUUGUUUCUUUGUUUACUUUACAACAUGUGCGGACAAACAAGGUAGUCUGACGUUUGCUUCAGCUGUCAUGAAGUUUUGUUCGUCUCUGCCUACACAGUUUGCAUGUGUCCCAGUCCGUGGCACAAACGCGGAAACAACCGACCUAACGCUAUCAGUGCGGUGUGUUCCUCGAUCAAUGCAAGAACUAAACCUUCUAGAGGGUAAAUCAAAUAGAAUGACCAACAUUUGACCUUUCCUUGAUAACUACAAGUGUUGAGAUUGUGCAAGGUAGACACUGAUCAGUAGGUAACCCGAGUGGACAAGUAUAACAUUUAUCAAUAUGACCCUAAUCUGUAUUCCAACAGGUACAUAGGUAUACAAGAAAUAGAAUCAGUUAUGAAACACCACCCUUGUAGUCACUUGUUGUAGGUGGAAUAGAUAGUAUUUACCAAUUACCAAGUUUCUUAUAAAAGUUUGGACUGAAAAAUGGGCAUACUAUUGCAUGGUUAGCAAUAAAACUGAAAAGAUAUCAACUAAAAUAGAAUCAAUCUAGGAUCACCGUAGUUGCUCUACAUCUGAAGUUGACGACUUUCAAAGUUCGUCACAAUAAAAACGCGUCAUAAUUCGGUCAACAAUGCACUUUUUCCUUGUAUGUUUACUAACUUACAGGUGCUUGUCAAGAUUAUAGAUUUGUAAAUGCAUUGUACUUUGAUACGUCAUUCAUUAAAAAUUUCCGGGAAGUUUACAAGACACCAGUUCUAACCCACCUUCGUUCUAAUAGUUUGGAUCAAAGGGACCGCAAUUACAUUAAUGUAACAGAAACGAGAAUUACUGUAAUGACUGGGAAACUGUGUAGAUGGUAUUUACUGAUUAAUUUAGUCUUAAUAACAACGUAAUCAAAUUGUAGUUUAGUUUGGAAGACAGAUCUGUGGUCCCAUUCAUACAUGAAAGUUUAACUCCUUACAUGGCACAUGCGUUAAACUUGCAUAGGUCCAGAUAUAUUUUACACCUUUAGAUUCUUUAGAGAAAUAAAGUUUGUACAGAUCGUUUCUCAUUUACUGCGACCGAUUUUUCGGCAUUUCCGAGAACGCUGGUAUACACGAGGACAGACUAUUUUGUAUUUCCUAGGUCCGACUGGGUACUAACAAUCAUCAGCAUCGCAAUCCUGUCACCGAUAUCCUACACAUCGCAAAAUAUUCGAUUAUACAAAAGUCCCAGGAAGUCGGGUUAAUUUUACUUUAUUUCAAGUUUGACCUGAUUUGUUUUAGAUGAUGUUGAAAACAUUACAAAUUCUGAGAGAGAAACGAAUAUAUUUCUCAAGAAUUUUUCGUUACACCGUAUCCCCUCACAUGUAACCAUUCCCCUUACAAUAUUGACAUGUACUUAAUACUCUAUUUGAAAAGGCAUACCAGACUAUUCAAGUUUGUCAAGUGUGUUGUGAAUGUAGAUUUGAAGGUCGGGCUAUAUCAGUGUUAUCAGAACUGUGAAACGAACACUCGGUGCAAACACAAAGAUAGAGCAAAGAGGGUAAUCACAUACGACGCAGGGGCGGAUUCAAUGAGGGCGUAACAGUCAUAAAACAUAAUUUUUUCAGUCUCAUUCGAGAAUAUUACACUUAUAUAGGAACGUCACUAUCUAGCAGGUGAAGUGCCACAAAUUUUGCCGUAUACAUGACCCUCAAGGUUGUAGUAGUGAGGGCUCUUUAUGAUACCAACACCUAACUUGACCCAGGAACUCUUGGAUCUUUUUGAAUUUGAUCAUAUUCGGGUUUUAUAGGUUUGAUCACUUGAUUAAUUUCAUUAGUUGUAACAGUGAACUUAUGGAUAUGAUAGCUUAUCGUCUGUACGUGUAUCUACAUCUACCGGUAAUUAGGAAUGAUAUUUCGUAUGCAGGAUUAUGUACGUCGAUCUGAUUGGACUACUCACUUCUUUGCUCUUUCGUGUUCAUUGCCAAGUACCGAAACUGCGAGGACUAAAGUGCAAAGGAUCGAGCGAGAACGCUAAGGAGCAAAAUUAAUAUUCCACUUUUUCGCAUUUGGAAAUUGUUAUUACGCAUGCGUGAAGUAAAAUUAUUGGGAGUUUCCCCCCCUUCUAAAUCUUUUCAUUUUGUUUGUUGAUGCAUGCAGUGUAUCCAUCUACGAAUCUCCUUUCUCGCUUUAUACUUUUUACAUGUCUAUAAUCUACCGGGUACAAUUUGUACAGAAUCAAUCGGUUAUCAUAUAUACUAAUCUCGGCUGAGAUUCGGCUUGGCUGAAUAUUUGGACUGACGCUUUCACCGAAUCUCGCAGCAGUCCUUCAUAAUUUACUUUCAGCUUCGACCGGUUCUAGCAAUUAAUGUGCACUUAGUUGACACUGCUGUUCGCUUCAUAUAAGUGCUUUGACUGUUAAACUAACUCUCUAUCACUAUUAGUUUCGCAUUGCUUACGUCUAGACAUGAAAAUCCUAAAAUGAAGAGUCACUAAAUUUUCCGUUCAAAUGAUGACUUCCACGGCUCAAUAUCUUAUCUCCCGGAAUUGAAGAGUUCCAAUAGUUUCUUUGUUUUUUAAAUUAGCGAUCUACAAGACGGUAUAUGGAGAUACACUGUAUCUGUAACUAAAUAAUACAGACUAUUGGACUGAUCCGAGAUUCGGUGAAGGCGUCAGUCCAAAUAUGCAGCCAAGCCGAUCUCAGAUAUACAUGUACACAUGUACAAUGCACGCACGACAACUUUUGGUGCAUCAAAUUAUGCGAACAUGAUUUUUAUUUGUCUUACACAUAAUCUUGUACUUCAUCCAAAAUACAUAGUAAAAUAAUCUAAAAAAUACUUUUACAUUGUACAUGAUAGAUUUCAUUACAGCUAUAGUGUAGUCAUAACAGGAUAGAUAUAUAGCGCAAUGGGAGAGCGUUCGUUUCGUAACCGUAAGUUUGUGAGUUCGAGCCCCGCUCGAAAAAUGAUCGCGUUAAACCUAAGACGAAAUGUAAGUGAUUGCUCAUUCACUAAACGGUCAGCAUUUAGAAGCAAAAAUCACGGGUCUUUCGGAUAUGACGUUAAAAACGGAGGUUCUAGGUCGCGGCAGACGUUGGUACGUUAAAGAACCCCUGUCACUACUACAGCCGUAAGUGCUAAGCAUAGGUCUUUUGUGGCACCUCACCUACAACGGAUGACGUCUUAAUAUGAGAGAAUAAGUCUCGAAAAAAAAACCCCAAAAAAAAAACCACACAAAAAAAAACACACACACACAAAAACAUCACUACUACUACUUGUCAAGUACAUCAUUUCCCGAAAAUGGCGACACAAUGAGAACGUGGCACUUCAUCAAUAAGACAACACGGCGAUUUUUCCCAAUCAUUUCUCGAAUAUGGCAACACAAUAUCUUAGUAGCUUUAUUAAUAAGACACCAUGCGUUUUUUCCAUUUAUCUUUGAAAUGAAACAUCAUUUACAGAAGGGAAUACCAGUAAAUUAAUAUAGUGUAAAUAUAGUUGCACGUGUUAUGAAAACUAAAUACUGAAUGGAAGACAUAAGGACCUCCAAAUUAAUUUACAAAUAGAAAAUCAUACAAAAGAGAUGGGAAAGAUUAAUGAAGCAAUGACACAGGUUUCAAAGUAGAAUGAAUCCGACCCCCUUUUUAUGUAAAACAACAAUACCUAUGAUGCCUUUCACAAACAUUGCUAUACACUGUAACAAACAAGUCACACUAAAUUCUGCUCACAUGGUGUUAGUUUUCAAAAUGACAUUUUAUGAAGUACACGUAUGUACAUAUAUUUGUAUGUAUAUUUUUUUGUGAGCUUAGUAUAAAAUGAUUGUGAAAUCGAAGAUAUUACAAAUGUUUCAAUGGGAAUUCAAGAAUAAUUUGUUGUUGCAGUUGCAACGGAAAUGAUUGGAUAUUUGUAAUACCUAAAGAUAUGAUAUUCCAAAACCACAGCUUAAAAAAGAAAUAUUUUGAGGUUAAUACACAUGUACAUGCGUGUCAACGCCCUCUCCAUGCUUAAUAAUAAAGUCCGACAUGGAAACGUGCAUUUUAAUAUAUAUUUAACAGUGACGUCAAUGAUAGCAAAUGAGUCUUGAAAUAACAAUGAAAGAACGUGUUCAUACAGAUGAAUCAUCGUCACUGAUCUGAUGAUCUUCUACUGUUACAUUACAUGUCUCAAGCACGUCCAGUCUGCAGACAAUUCAAGUGACGUGCAGUGGAGUUUGUGAGUACCCGAAAGCAUCACGUUUACAAAUUCUUGCUGAGUAAAGGACAUGCUAUUUUAUCAUAACUGCUUGUAAUAAUCUUUAUAACACACAUAUAACAAAAUAACGCAUGGUUUAUACAAGGCGACCGUUCUAUGUUGAAAUGUAAUUAAAACCUUAUCAAUGACAAUGCAAAUUGUAGAGGAUGACGAAAUGUACGUACAGUGGUGGGCCUCGGGUUCCUUAAGUCAAUCUGCUGCGGUCAAAUAAGGAAGUUCGUGGGGUCAGUAUGUCUGAUGAGGUCUCAUACGGUCAUGCCCCCUCCCUCACCCCCCCCCCCCCUCGAAUCCAACAACAAUUACUGUUACGUUACAAUCUCCAUAAAUUUCAAAAGUGCCAUGACCAGGAAACUAUCACAUGGAUUGAGUCAUGUGUGCUGACAUAUAAAAACAACUUUUAUUGACUUCAGCUUUUAUUGAUAAAUAAAUUCGGAAUAAUAGUAAAAUUUCGUGAAGCAUGCAUACACGCGUGCAAAUAUACAUAUAAUAUAUUAUGUACUCAAUCACUAGUACCUCAGAUGAGUUCUAAGUAUAUGUGCAUUGCAUCAAAACUCAGAACACUUCGCCGGUCUAUAUGAUGUCAUUUUGUAUUAACAAUAAUUAGGACAUUCGUUUAAAUUCAUGUACUCUAUCCAUUAAAAACUUCCCCUAAAUUAGAAAAUGGUGAAAUCAAACUAUAAUUUUGAUAAUUGAAUACUGAGAGUUGAUAUACCCAAAUAUUCAAUUCAUCAAAUCAAUUGCGUCAAGUUCCUAUGUUGAGUAUGAAAUGCAUUAUUGAUAGUUAAAGGAA